CUAUGUCCAUAUGGGAAAAGCACUCCCUCCCCUCCAACCUCCUCAUUUCCUGCUGGUAACUUGCCAUUGCUGCUUCUGACUUCCCCAGUGCUCAUUUUCCACCGACGGAACCCAACUGACAAAGAGCAGAAAGAUCCAGGAGAUUCCGAGUCCCAGAAGGACAGAGUAUGCAUCUGGAAGUUAAGCGCAGAGUUAAGGGCACCCCCUCCAUACCCUGGGCUGGUCUUGCUGGGAAAUCCAAGGCAACAUCAUGAAAACAGAGUACGUUCCCCGGGGCCACUUCUCCUGGGAAGGGGCGAUGUAGCAGUUAGUGCUCUGCUCACCCAAAAUUCCACGCACUUCCCACAGUCUGCUUGGGGCCACGCGGCUACUUUGGGCCAACCGACAGGGAGCAGAGAUGACCUGUGUCACUUACAGGCCCAGUGUGUCCCUCCUCCAUCCCUCUCUUCCUCUCCCGCAGUGACACACGUACUUAGGAAACCACGGUUUCAGGACAGUGCAGCUUCAGGAUGGGGGAGGAACGCCGAGCCCAGUUUUAACCUAAGUGAGAAGAAACCCUUUUUGGAGGGAGCUGAGAUGCCAAGGUCAAUAUUAUACCCUUUGAGGAUCUAUUUGCGUUGUUAACAUCAAAGGAUGAAAAUUCACAUAUGAUGCAAUUUUUCUCUGUGCCAGGAGCAUCGCCUCUUAGGAAAACAGAUGGUCGGACCAGCUGCCUGGCUCGAAUCCCAGCUCCACUCUCCGUGUCCUUAGAGGGGGAGUUACUUCUCUCUGCUUCGGUCUCCUCAUCCGAAAAAUAGGGACACUAAUAUUAUUAGGAGGAAUAAAUUAGUGCUUAAACGAAUGAUUGCA
rnacentral:lncRNA from 12 species